UACGGAGGAUGCGAGCGUUAUCCGGAUUUAUUGGGUUUAAAGGGUGCGUAGGCGGGCUUUUAAGUCAGCGGUAAAAAUUCGGGGCUCAACCCCGUCCGGCCGUUGAAACUGGGGGUCUUGAGUGGGCGAGAAGAAGGCGGAAUGCGUGGUGUAGCGGUGAAAUGCAUAGAUAUCACGCAGAACCCCGAUUGCGAAGGCAGCCUUCCGGCGCCCUACUGACGCUGAGGCUCGAAAGCGUGGGUAGCGAACAGG
rnacentral:rRNA from 1 species